rnacentral:rRNA from 1 species
GUGGGGAAUUUUGGACAAUGGGCGCAAGCCUGAUCCAGCAAUGCCGCGUGCAGGAAGAAGGCCUUCGGGUUGUAAACUGCUUUUGUACGGAACGAAACGGUCCUGGCUAAUAUCCGGGGCUAAUGACGGUACCGUAAGAAUAAGCACCGGCUAACUACGUGCCAGCAGCCGCGGUAAUACGUAGGGUGCGAGCGUUAAUCGGAAUUACUGGGCGUAAAGCGUGCGCAGGCGGUGAUGUAAGACAGUUGUGAAAUCCCCGGGCUCAACCUGGGAACUGCAUCUGUGACUGCAUUGCUGGAGUGCGGCAGAGGGGGAUGGAAUUCCGCGUGUAGCAGUGAAAUGCGUAGAUAUGCGGAGGAACACCGAUGGCGAAGGCAAUCCCCUGGGCCUGCACUGACGCUCAUGCACGAAAGCGUGGGGAGCAAACAGGAUUAGAAACCCCUGUAGUCC